UACGUAGGGGGCAAGCGUUGUCCGGAAUUAUUGGGCGUAAAGAGCGCGUAGGCGGUCCGGUAAGUCGGUUGUGAAAGUCGGGGGCUCAACCCUCGGAUGCCGAUCGAUACUGUCGGGCUAGAGUCCGGAAGAGGCGAGUGGAAUUCCUGGUGUAGCGGUGAAAUGCGCAGAUAUCUGGAGGAACACCGGUGGCGAAGGCGGCAUCCUGGACCGGCAUUGACGCUGAGGCGCGAAAGCCAGGGGAGCAAACGGG
rnacentral:rRNA from 1 species